AAAACAUAGCCUUAAGAAUUAAUUUAAGGUGCAGUCUGCCCAAUGAAAUUUCAAUGGCUGCGGAAUAUUAACCGUACUAAGGUAGCAUAAUCAAUUGGCUCUUAAAUGGAGUCUGGAAUGAAAGGAAUAACGGGGGCUUUCUGUCUCAUAAUCUUUAUUUUGAAUUUACUAUUUAGGUGAAAAAGCCUAAAAAUGAUAAAAGACGAGAAGACCCUAAGAGUUUACUUAUAUUUUGUUGGGGCGACAUAGGAUCAUAAAAUAAACAUCCUUUAUAGAAUAUGACGGGAUAUGCCAUGUGUAGAAAAACUACCUUAGGGAUAACAGCGCAAUCUUUUUAGGUUUGUGACCUCGAUGUUGGACUAGGAAGCUUCUAGGCUAGUCGCUUAGAGGGGGGAUUCUGUUCGAAUUUUUACUCCUACGUGAUCU
rnacentral:rRNA from 1 species